GAUGAACGCUGGCGGCGUGCCUAACACAUGCAAGUCGAGCGAGGAAAGAUAGCUUGCUAUCAAUCCUAGCGGCGGACGGGUGAGUAACGCGUGGGUAACCUGCCCUAUACACAUGGAUAACAUACCGAAAGGUAUGCUAAUACAAGAUGAAACAUUGAUAAGGCAUCUUAUUAAUGUCAAAGCCUUGGCGGUAUAGGAUGGGCCCGCGUCCCAUUAGUUAGUUGGUGAGGUAACGGCUCACCAAGGCCACGAUGGGUAGCCGACCUGAGAGGGUGAUCGGCCACACUGGACCGGAGACACGGUCCAGACUCCUACGGGAGGCAGCAGUGGGGAAGAUUGCGCAAUGGGCGGAAGCCUGAUGCAGCAACGCCGCGUGAGCGAUGAAGGCCUUCGGGUCGUAAAGCUCUGUCCUCAAGGAAGAAUUUUGACGGUACUUGAGGAGGAAGCCCCGGCUAACUACGUGCCAGCCGCCGCCGUAACAC
rnacentral:rRNA from 1 species